CACGUAGGGCGCAAGCGUUGUCCGGAAUUAUUGGGCGUAAAGAGCUCGUAGGCGGUCUGUUGCGUCCGCUGUGAAAACUCGGGGCUUAACCCCGAGCCUGCAGUGGAUACGGGCAGACUAGAGGUAGGUAGGGGAGAAUGGAAUUCCCGGUGUAGCGGUGAAAUGCGCAGAUAUCGGGAGGAACACCGGUGGCGAAGGCGGGUCUCUGGACAGUUCCUGACACUGAGACACGAAGGCCAGGGGAGCAAACGGG
rnacentral:rRNA from 1 species